rnacentral:lncRNA from 1 species
GGUGUAGUGCCCCCUUUUUAUAGGAAAGAUGGGGCGACUCCAUGGGACGCCAACUCUUGGCAUUCCUUAACUCUUACACGUCAAAAAUAAAUUUUUAGCAUGGAAUACAAGGGGAUGGCAUAAAAUAUGAAGUGGUUUACCAGCAGAAGGACUCUUCCUCUACUAAGAAAAAAUAUAACGUCAACUCUUGACGCAUGGGA